AGAGAGAUAGAUAUCAUUGUUAUUGGGAUAGGAGAGAAGAUAGAGAAAGUGAUUUGCCAUGUUAGAGAGGUGUCUGGUAGGGAGGAGAGCCUAUGAUGGUUAUUGGGAUAAGAAAGGAAACGAGGUUAGAGGAAAAAGAGAUUGGGCGGGUGGGAUUCUGAAGACAGUGCACGUGAUAAGAGUCCAAGAAAGUAUGAUUUUUUCAAAGCACUCAUAGGAAGCAAAAUUGCAAAAAGAGAAAUAUAUUUUACUUUCAUUUCUAAUUUUCCACAUGUGCCCUUGGUUAUGAGCAAGGUUCGCUGUACCGGUCGGUACCGAGCGUACCGUACCCGUACCGAUGGGUACCGGUAUCGGUACACCAAUGUCGGUACGGUCGGUACCGAGCGUACGGUACCGUAUCGACACUCGGUACACCUAUACUGGUGCGGCACCGGUACGGGGUUCGGUACCGGUACGGCGAACCUUGGUUAUGAGUAUUCUAUAAUAAAG
rnacentral:lncRNA from 1 species